rnacentral:rRNA from 1 species
UUGAAGUGAUUAAGGGCACACGGUGGAUGCCUUGGCAUGCAGAGGCGAUGAAGGACGUGUAAAGCUGCGAAAAGCCACGGGGAGCUGCACAAAAGUGUUGAUCCGUGGGUGUCCGAAUGGGGCAACCCAUCCCUUAGGGGAUAUCCUUUCGAGGAGGCAUACGCUCUGAACUGAAACAUCUAAGUAGGAGCAGGAAGAGAAAACAAUAGUGAUUCCCUGAGUAGUGGCGAGCGAAAGGGGAGCAGCCCAAACCGGGCCCUACGGGGUUCGGGGUUGUAGGACCUGCGGGAGUUGUGUUAUUGGAAGUCGAAUGGGUCUGGAAAGCCCAGCCACAGACGGUGAUAGUCCGGUAGGCGUAACGAUGACAUGAUGGCGGGUAUCCUGAGUAGCGCGAGGCCGGUGAAACCUUGCGUGAAUUUGCCGGCACCAUCCGGUAAGGCUAAAUACAUCUGCAUGACCGAUAGUGAACCAGUACCGUGAGGGAAAGGUGAAAAGAACGCCGAGACGGCGAGUGAAAUAGUACCUGAAACCGUGUGCUUACAAGCGGUCGGAGGCCCUUCGGGGCUGACGGCGUGCCUUUUGUAUAAUGAGCCUACGAGUUACUCCUGUUGUGCGAGGUUAAGCCCUUUCGGGGUGGAGCCGUAGCGAAAGCGAGUCUGAAUAGGGCGCGUAGUACGACGGGGUAGACGCGAAACCAAGUGAUCUAUCCAUGGCCAGGGUGAAGCGAAGGUAAGACUUCGUGGAGGCCCGAACCGGUUGACGUUGAAAAGUCUUCGGAUGAGCUGUGGAUAGGGGUGAAAGGCCAAUCAAACUUGGAGAUAGCUCGUACUCCCCGAAAUAUAUUUAGGUAUAGCGUCUGGUUUUGUCUGCCCGGAGGUAGAGCACUGAUUAGGCUAGGGGGCUUCACCGCCUACCAACCCUAGACAAACUCCGAAUACCGGGCCAGAGCCGCCAGGCAGUCAGUCCUAGGGUGAUAACGUCCUAGGGCGAGAGGGGAACAACCCAGACCACCAGCUAAGGUCCCUAAAUGAUGGCUAAGUUGAUCAAAGAAAGUUGAGUUGCUCAGACAACUAGGAGGUUGGCUUAGAAGCAGCCAUUCCUUUAAAGAGUGCGUAAUAGCUCACUAGUCAAGCGACUCGGCGUCGAUAAUAAUCGGGCAUAAGUCAUCUGCCGAAGCUGUGGGAUAGAGAUAUCGGUAGGGGAGCAUUCCAGUCGGCGUAGAAGGAGUCCUGUGAGGGGCUUUGGAGCGGUUGGAAGCGAAACUGUAGGCAUGAGUAACGAUAAGACAGGUGAAAAACCUGUCCACCGUAAACCCAAGGGUUCCUGAUCAACGCUAAUCGGAUCAGGGUUAGUCGAGACCUAAGGUGUACCCGGUGAUGCCGGGGAAGCUGAUGGCAAAGCGGUUAAAUAUUCCGCUACCCUAGCAAACGCUAGGCUAAGGCGUGACGCAGAAGUGACACUCCCGCGUGCUGACGAAUGCACGUUGAAGGGUGUAGGCUAGAGAGUAGGUAAAUCCGCUCUCUGUGAAGGCUGAACCCCGACAGUACCCGGAGUCUUCGGACGAAGGGAUAGUGGAGGUAAUCCUGCUGCCAAGAAAAGCGUCGUAGUUUGUUUGUUAGGCUCGUACCCCAAACCGACACAGGUGGGUGAGGAGAGUAUCCUCAGGUGCUCGAGUGAAUCAUGGCUAAGGAACUAGGCAAAUUAGAUCCGUAACUUCGGGAGAAGGAUCCCCCUGGCAACAGGGGCGCAGUGAAAAGGCCCAAGCGACUGUUUACCAAAAACACAUGUCUCUGCUAAGCCGUAAGGCGAUGUAUAGGGACUGACACCUGCCCGGUGCCGGAAGGUUAAAGAAGGGGGUUAUCUUCGGAGAAGCUCUUGACUGAAGCCCCGGUAAACGGCGGCCGUAACUAUAACGGUCCUAAGGUAGCGAAAUUCCUUGUCGGGUAAGUUCCGACCUGC